UACGUAGGCAGCGAGCGUUGUUCGGAAUUACUGGGCGUAAAGAGUGUGUAGGCGGUGCUCUAAGUUCGGUGUGAAAUCUCCCCGCUUAACUGGGAGGGUGCGCCGGAAACUGGAGUGCUCGAGCGUGGGAGAGGAAAGCGGAAUUCCUGGUGUAGCGGUGAAAUGCGUAGAUAUCGGGAGGAACACCAGUGGCGAAGGCGGCUCACUGGUCCGGUACUGACGCUGAGGUGCGAAAGCGUGGGGAGCAAACAGG
rnacentral:rRNA from 1 species